ACACUUACUUGCCAGGGGAGAUACCAUGAUCACGAAGGUAGUUUUCCCAGGGCAAAGCUUAUCCACUGCACUCCAGAUGUGCUGACCCCUGCAAUUUACCCAAAUGUGGAAAACUGCAUAAUUUGUUGUGAUAGUAGGGGACUGUGUUCAUACUCUCCCUUG